rnacentral:rRNA from 1 species
GAGUUAGGCUACGUAGUGACCUGCGGAGGAUCAUUA